rnacentral:rRNA from 1 species
GACGAACGCUGGCGGCGUGCUUAACACAUGCAAGUCGAACGGUAAGGCCCUUCGGGGUACACGAGUGGCGAACGGGUGAGUAACACGUGGGUGAUCUGCCCUGCACUUCGGGAUAAGCCUGGGAAACUGGGUCUAAUACCGGAUAGGACCACUGCCUGCAUGGGUGGUGGUGGAAAGCUUUUGCGGUGUGGGAUGGGCCCGCGGCCUAUCAGCUUGUUGGUGGGGUGAUGGCCUACCAAGGCGACGACGGGUAGCCGGCCUGAGAGGGUGACCGGCCACACUGGGACUGAGAUACGGCCCAGACUCCUACGGGAGGCAGCAGUGGGGAAUAUUGCACAAUGGGCGCAAGCCUGAUGCAGCGACGCCGCGUGAGGGAUGACGGCCUUCGGGUUGUAAACCUCUUUCAGCUAUGACGAAGCGCAAGUGACGGUAGUAGCAGAAGAAGGACCGGCCAACUACGUGCCAGCAGCCGCCGUAA